rnacentral:rRNA from 1 species
AGAGCGAACGCUGGCGGCAUGCUUAACACAUGCAAGUCGCACGGUCGGGUUUCGGCCCGGCAGUGGCGGACGGGUGAGUAACGCGUAGGGAUCUAUCCUUGGAUGGGGGGACAACCGUGGGAAACUACGGCUAAUACCGCAUGAAGCCCGAGGGCUAAAGCUCGCGAGAGCGUCUGGGGAGGAGCCUGCGUCCGAUUAGCUAGUUGGUGGGGUAAAGGCCUACCAAGGCGGUGAUCGGUAGCUGGUCUGAGAGGAUGAUCAGCCACACUGGGACUGAGAACGGCCCAGACUCCUACGGGAGGCAGCAGUCGGGAAUUUUGCCCAAUGGACGAAAGUCUGAGGCAGCAACUCCGCGUGAGGGAUGAAGGCUCUCGGGUCGUAAACCUCUUUUAUCAGGGAAGAUAAUGACGGUACUGAUGAAUAAGUCACGGCUAACUACGUGCCAGCAGCCGC